AUUAUUAAUUCUGCCAUAUUGGGGGGUAAUUGUUGACACAUAAAAAUUUAGCCCAAAUCAAACGGCCCAAAGAGUGAAGCCCAAUUGGAGGAUCCCCAAAUCAGAUAGCCCAAAGAACGAAAUCCAAUCAAACAAAUUAGGAUGACGGCCCAAAUAGGGAGGCCCAAGAACGCGGUAACGCCAUCGCCCAAGUUUGCAAGUCGCCCAGAAUCUGAGCGAACGGAGUGCCAUACAGUCGCCCAGAGCUGUUACUCUAUUCUCGCCCAAACUUUCAAGUCGCCCAAGGUCUCAACACACAUAAAGCGUUGUGAUUAUCAAGACGUGCCGUUAUCAAAGCAGCCCUAUCACGUUCCACGAUUCAAGGAAUUAAAUCGAAAGCGGUUGAACGACAAAGAGUAAUGACAGCAGUUAAAAAAGGCAAUUUUCAUGACAAGUUGACCGUUACGAGGAAAGUGGGCAGUCAUAGGACGA
rnacentral:sRNA from 1 species